GCGGAGGAAAAGAAAAUAACAAUGAUUUCCCUAGUAACGGCGAGUGAAGAGGAAAGAGCUCAAAGUUGGAAACUGUUUGGCUUAGCUAAACCGUAUUGUAAACUGUAGAAACAUUUUCCUGGCACGCCGGAUUAAUAAGUCCUUUGGAACAAGGCAUCAUGGAGGGUGAGAAUCCCGUCUUUGAUCCGAGUAGUUGUCUUUUGUGAUAUGUUUUCAAAGAGUCAGGUUGUUUGGGAAUGCAGCCUAAAUUGGGUGGUAAAUCUCACCUAAAGCUAAAUAUUUGCGAGAGACCGAUAGCGAACAAGUACCGUGAGGGAAAGAUGAAAAGAACUUUGAAAAGAGAGUUAAACAGUAUGUGAAAUUGUUAAAAGGGAACCGUUUGGAGCCAGACUGGUUUGACUGUAAUCAACCUAGAAUUCGUUCUGGGUGCACUUGCAGUCUAUACCUGCCAACAACAGUUUGAUUUGGAGGAAAAAAUUAGUAGGAAUGUAGCCUCUCGAGGUGUUAUAGCCUACUAUCAUACUCUGGAUUGGACUGAGGAACGCAGCGAAUGCCUUUAGGCAAGAUUGCUGGGUGCUUUCGCUAAUAAAUGUUAGAAUUUCUGCUUCGGGUGGUGCUAAUGUUUAAAGGAGGAACACAUCUAGUAUAUUUUUUAUUCGCUUAGGUUGUUGGCUUAAUGACUCUAAUGAC
rnacentral:rRNA from 2 species